rnacentral:lncRNA from 1 species
GAAAUAAAUAAAUAAAACAAUAACCUCCGCGCCAAUAAGAGCGAGGGAGAGAGAAAGACGCGGCCAGAGAGCCACCGGUGCCAGUCCGCUCGCCUGUGACAGGCUCUCGGCGCGCGCGUGUGUGUGCGUGAGUGUGUAUUCGCUGGGACUGGAGCUGGAAAGUUCAAACUAAACGUGUUGCUCUCCCGGGUGGCCGAGGCUCGCCACAGAGGCUCUGCCCAACUUCUCUGGGCCAAGUGACUGGCAGUGCCCGGCGCCCUUGGCGAGUCGCAGGCUGCUCGGCCCGGUGCCCGGGCGCAGCGGCAGCAGCGUCUCCGGUCAACCUGGGAAGGAGCCCCACGACCAGGGCUGGACGCUCGCCCCAACAGAUCGCAGACUCUCGGGGUCCUGGGCUAGCACCCUGGCAACCAGAAAAAGGUACGUGACACUUUUCCUACAGGAAUCUACUCUCACCCAGCCCGCGUGUGUAGGUAGCUGUCUAGAUGCUUUCUCUGCCAGGGGUGGUCACCGUUCGUCAAACUUUACCUCCACCUUCACACUAGCUGGUGGCAGCGGAGACUGCUCACGCUGGUAAAUUUGCUGAUAUGAACCGAGUGGGGGCAGUUUAUGUUGCAAGCGGUUCUUGCCAUCUGAAUGAAGACUGCCUUUCGGAUAGAAUCGCAGCUCUUACCUUCUGGUGGUGAUGUUGAUUGUGAUGCUCUUGCCUGGAAGGCUUGUUAAAGGUCUCCUGGGCCCUUCUGUAGGAAAAGGGCUUACAAGUUUGCAGGAAAUCCUACGUGUAAACCAGGGGAAGUUUGCAGGAGCUUGACUCCCGGGGAGGAGGAGUAACCCUUUCUUUGCAGUAGCGGCAACCGCGGUUUGGAAGCAGCAGUAGCGGUGGCGGAAGGAAAAGCGGUUUGGCUCCUGGCAGCAGCUGCUUGUUGUCCUGUCUGUGACUGGGAGAAGACGGAAAACUGGGGCUGCCUUGUCCAAGCAUGCGACCCAAGAGCUGCCUGCAUAGACGCCAUGGGGUCAGUAAGAGAAUGGCACCCAGUCACUUGGCUAAUCCUGUUGAGAGUCUUGAUUACCGUUUGUGAUGCUAUGUUUCCUCGCUGUCAUGUUUUUAAAAUGCUUUAAAAAGUUAUUUUGCAUGUGAUUUUCAUUUCUGGGUUAGGGGAGGCUUUAGGACCGUUCAGAGAAAUCAGUUUGGUGGAGUGAGUGUUCAAAUCUGCAGAGGAACCUAUCUCUUGUCUGUAGUACUUCGCCUACUGUGAGGAAUAUCUCCCCUAAGAUUAUAUUCUGUUUCCCCACUUUCUUUUUUCUUUCAGUAAAGCAGGAACUCCUACGGACAACCCCGCCCCCCACCCGCUCCAAAUGUAAAAGUAAUUUUAAGUUUAACAAUCCACAUUCUUGAGCCUUUGGAAGCCACCUGCUGAAUUAAUUCAUGUUAGUUUGAGAGGUUCCCACUUGCUGCAGAAGAUGUAGACACAUCCAGCAGAUGGAGCAAUGGAAAAGGGCCCUAGAACAAAUCUAACACCCAUUUAUCCCGAUUAAAUCACGUUGCUGGGAGGAAAAAUGUAUAUGGAGUUACUUUAUCAGGAACACGGAAUUUUCUAUGAUCUUUGAAACAAUGGUAAAGCCACCAAAAUACGACUAAAAUAUAUGGAUUAAAAAAAUCCAGUUCUGUGAGCUGUUAUUUUUUUUUCUAACUUUCAGGAAACAUUUCUAAAGAUAUUUUAUAAAUUGAAGUUCAAUUGAAUUCAUUCAUAUGAAGGUACAAGGCACUUCCAAGGUGAUAGAUUAUGACAAAUAAUAACUCCAUUAAAAACAAUGCACUUUUUCUCAUGGCAUGAGUAAUGUUUAAAGAUAUAGGUCAUGAGUAAUGUUUAAAGAUAUAGGGUGUGUGUGUGUGUGUGUGUGUGUGUGUGUGUGUGUGUGUGUGUAAACUUGUACCUCAAAGCAAAUAAAUAUUAUAUUAUCAGGCUUAAUACAAAUAAGUUUUUGUUUUGUAAACUUCAAUAGGGAGGUACAUGUUUUUCCUAAAAUAGUUGAAAAGUUAACAGAACUUUGUAGCUUUGUAGUGAUUAUACUAAAUUAAUGUUAUUCUUUCUCUAGAAUUAUAGAAAAAAAAAGAAAGAAACAUGUGUGGUCUGUCCACACCAAGUAAGUCUUCAAAUAGCAAGGCAAGUGCUUGUCAAAAUACCUGUUUAACUGACUUUACAUCCACAAUUAUGUUAACAAGGACAAUAUACCCAACAUAUAUCUUACAACUUUAGCCCAAGUAAUGCUCCUGAGAAAAUAACUAUAGAGGUGAUAAAAACGCAUUGCCCAUUUUACAGACACAGCAGAAAGACUUAAGCGAAGUCAAGAGCCACUGCACUCAAGGCUGGGUCUUGUGUUUAGUCAACUCCACCACGUCCAGUGUCUUCAGAGUCAGUGUAUCUCUGUAUAUUACAGUGUGGUACAGUAUUAUGUCUAAGUAGUCUGAAGCAUACCAAUUAAAUCUUAUUUUAGAAUCAUAAUAUAGUAAUCAAAAGGUUACAGCUUUACAUUACAUAUUUUAAAGAACACAAAGAUAGGCAAAACACCUUCAGAAAAUUACUACAUGCAAUCAUUUGAGUUAAAUGUGCUUUCCAUUAUUCGUGUGUGUCUUAAAUACAUGUGAUUGCAUCUAAUUCAUGAGAUAAUUGAAUAAACCCUAACUGUGCAUCCCCGAGACUAUUUCUGGUAGAUUCACACAAUAUCAAGAGGGCUUGGAACUCAGUUAAUAGUGUAGCUAGCUUUGUCAAGAAUCUAGUCUUAUCUUGACUCACACCACAUGGAUAAAAUAAAUAUAUAUAUUUCCAAACAAACUAUCUCAAAAUUAAGUCCCUCCCAAAGCAAAGAACAUAAGCCCUUCAGAGAAAGACGCUGAAAGUUUAAUUUUUUAUCAUUACUAAAUCUGUUAACUACAGAUUUAAAUACAAUAACUUUGACUGGAAAUUUAAAAGACAGCUAAUAACACAAUUGUUCAUCUCAUUAAAUAGGAUAAAGUGUUCUUAUAUGAUUGCUAUAAUUAUCAUGAUUAUCAUCUAAGAAAACCAGAUGCAGUUGUGUCCAUUUGUAUCUGCACUAUUAAUGAUAAAAUUGAAUCACAAUGAUUUUGGAAAUAGAUGAUAUUUCAAAAGUUUUUGAAAAGUCAUGGCUUAGUACCAUCUUCAUAUAAUUAGCUUCAGGUUUGCGGGAGAGGCAGUGGAUUAAUUAAUGCACAGUAUGUCACAUAUGUGAACAUACACAUAGUAUGCAUAAAAUACAUAUUAGCUUGUACUAUGAC